AACAAACGCUGGCGGCGUGCCUAACACAUGCAAGUCGUACGAGAAAGGGUCCUUCGGGACCUGAGUAAAGUGGCGCACGGGUGAGUAACGCGUGGAUAAUCUACCCCCCAGUUGGGAAUAACUCAUCGAAAGGUGGGCUAAUACCGAAUAACACUGUUUGACUUUGGUCGAGCAGUCAAAGAGAGCCUCUGCUUGCAUGCCCUCGCUGAAGGAUGAGUCCGCGUACCAUUAGCUAGUUGGUAGGGUAAUGGCCUGACAAGGCGACGAUGGUUAGCUGGUCUGAAAGGAUGAUCAGCCACACUGGAACUGAGAUACGGUCCAGACUCCUACGGGAGGCAGCAGUGAGGAAUCUUGCGCAAUGGGGGCAACCCUGACGCAGCAACGCCGCGUGAGUGAGGAAGGUUUUCGGAUUGUAAACUCCUGUUAAGUGGGAAGAAAGGCUUGUUGUUAAUAGCAGCGAGAGAUGACGGUACCACUAAAGAAAGCACCGGCUAACUUCGUGCCAGCCGCCGCGGUAA
rnacentral:rRNA from 1 species